CAGCAGCCACGGUAAUACGUAGGUGGCAAGCGUUGUCCGGAAUUAUCGGGCGUAAAGGGCUCGCAGGCGGUUUCUUAAGUCUGAUGUGAAAGCCCCCGGCUCAACCGGGGAGGGUCAUUGGAAACUGGGAAACUUGAGUGCAGAAGAGGAGAGUGGAAUUCCACGUGUAGCGGUGAAAUGCGUAGAGAUGUGGAGGAACACCAGUGGCGAAGGCGACUCUCUGGUCUGUAACUGACGCUGAGGAGCGAAGGCGUGGGGAGCGAACAGGAUUAGAUACCCGCGUAGUCCCUGUCUCUUAUAC
rnacentral:rRNA from 1 species